rnacentral:rRNA from 1 species
AUUGAACGCUGGCGGCAUGCCUUACACAUGCAAGUCGAACGGCAGCACGGGAGCUUGCUCCUGGUGGCGAGUGGCGAACGGGUGAGUAAUGCAUCGGAACGUGCCCUGAAGUGGGGGAUAACGUAGCGAAAGUUACGCUAAUACCGCAUAUUCUGUGAGCAGGAAAGCAGGGGACCGCAAGGCCUUGCGCUCUUUGAGCGGCCGAUGUCAGAUUAGCUAGUUGGUGAGGUAACGGCUUACCAAGGCGACGAUCUGUAGCGGGUCUGAGAGGAUGAUCCGCCACACUGGAACUGAGACACGGUCCAGACUCCUACGGGAGGCAGCAGUGGGGAAUUUUGGACAAUGGGGGGCAACCCUGAUCCAGCCAUGCCGCGUGAGUGAAGAAGGCCUC